rnacentral:rRNA from 1 species
GGGCAGCGGGGAAAAGCUUGCUUUUCCGCCGGCGACCGGCGCACGGGUGCGGAACGCGUAUGGAACCUGCCCCUGUCAGGGGAAUAGCCCAGGGAAACUUGGAUUAAUCCCCCAUGGUACCCUUACAUCGCAUGAUAUUGUGGUUAAAGAUUUAUCGGACAGGGAUGGCCAUGCGUACCAUUAGUUAGUUGGUGGGGUAACGGCCCACCAAGGCAGCGAUGGUUAGGGGCCCUGAGAGGGGGAUCCCCCACACUGGUACUGAGACACGGACCAGACUCCUACGGGAGGCAGCAGUGAGGAAUAUUGGACAAUGGGCGGGAGCCUGAUCCAGCCAUGCCGCGUGCAGGAUGACGGCCCUAUGGGUUGUAAACUGCUUUUAUACGGGAAGAAAUGCGCCCACGUGUGGGCGUCUGACGGUACCGUAAGAAUAAGGACCGGCUAACUCCGUGCCAGCAGCCGCGGUAAUACGGAGGGUCCGAGCGUUAUCCGGAAUCAUUGGGUUUAAAGGGUCCGUAGGCGGGCCUGUAAGUCAGGGGUGAAAGUUUGUGGCUCAACCAUAAAAUUGCCUUUGAUACUGCAGGUCUUGAGUCAUGGUGGGGUCGCCGGAACAUGUGGUGUAGCGGUGAAAUGCAUAGAUAUCACAUAGAACACCGAUCGCGAAGGCAGGUGGCCAACCAUGUACUGACGCUGAUGGACGAAAGCGUGGGUAGCGAACGGGAUUAGAUACCCCGGUAGUCCACGCCGUAAACGAUGGAUACUAGCUGUGGGGACUUCGGUCUCCGUGGCCAAGCGAAAGUGAU